AGUGAACGCUGGCGGUAGGCCUAACACAUGCAAGUCGAACGGCAGCACAGUAAGAGCUUGCUCUUACGGGUGGCGAGUGGCGGACGGGUGAGGAAUACAUCGGAAUCUACUUUUUCGUGGGGGAUAACGUAGGGAAACUUACGCUAAUACCGCAUACGACCUACGGGUGAAAGCAGGGGAUCUUCGGACCUUGCGCGAUUGAAUGAGCCGAUGUCGGAUUAGCUAGUUGGCGGGGUAAAGGCCCACCAAGGCGACGAUCCGUAGCUGGUCCGAGAGGAUGAUCAGCCACACUGGAACUGAGACACGGUCCAGACUCCUACGGGAGGCAGCAGUGGGGAAUAUUGGACAAUGGGCGCAAGCCUGAUCCAGCCAUACCGCGUGGGUGAAGAAGGCCUUCGGGUUGUAAGGCCCUUUUGUUGGGAAAGAAAAGCAGCAGGUUAAUACCCCGCUGUUCUGACGGUACCCAAAGAAUAAGCACCGGCUAACUUCGUG
rnacentral:rRNA from 1 species